rnacentral:rRNA from 1 species
UGAGGAAUAUUGGUCAAUGGGCGCGAGCCUGAACCAGCCAAGUCGCGUGAGGGAAGACGGUCCUAUGGAUUGUAAACCUCUUUUAUCAGGGAGCAAAGGCAGUCACGGGUGACUGAAAGGAGAGUACCUGAAGAAAAAGCAUCGGCUAACUCCGUGCCAGCAGCCGCGGUAAUACGGAGGAUGCGAGCGUUAUCCGGAUUUAUUGGGUUUAAAGGGUGCGUAGGCGGAAAGUUAAGUCAGCGGUAAAAUCGAGAGGCUCAACCUCUUUCAGCCGUUGAAACUGGUUUUCUAGAGUGAGUGGGAAGUACGCGGAAUGCGAGGUGUAGCGGUGAAAUGCAUAGAUAUCACGCAGAACUCCAAUUGCGAAGGCAGCGUACCGGCACUCAACUGACGCUGAAGCACGAAAGCGUGGG